AACGAACGCUGGCGGCAGGCCUAACACAUGCAAGUCGAACGCUGUAGCAAUACAGAGUGGCGCACGGGUGAGUAACGCGUAGGAAUCUACCCAUUAGCCUGGGAUAACAGCGGGAAACUGCUGCUAAUACCGGAUACGCCCUUCGGGGGAAAGGUUUACUACUAAUGGAUGAGCCUGCGUUAGAUUAGCUAGUUGGUGAGGUAAUGGCUCACCAAGGCUCCGAUCUAUAGCCGGUCUGAGAGGACGAUCGGCCACACUGGGACUGAGACACGGCCCAGACUCCUACGGGAGGCAGCAGUGGGGAAUAUUGGGCAAUGGACGCAAGUCUGACCCAGCCAUGCCGCGUGUGUGAUGAAGGCCUUAGGGUUGUAAAGCACUUUUAGUAGUGAAGAUGAUGACAGUAGCUACAGAAAAAGCCCCGGCUAACUUCGUGCCAGCCGCCGCAGUAA
rnacentral:rRNA from 1 species